GUUGUUCCCGGCCAGGCUUACUAUCGUAACGAAGGAUGGUGAGAGGAGAAGAUUUGUGUCGGUCACUGAAGCCAAGGACUACAUUGCAUCCAUUCGUCCUGCUGAGGUCUAAACUUGAAAAGCCCAUACAGUUCCAUUUACAACCUUAUGCAUCGCUCUACAUGGCGGUCGAUAUGGCGAGGAUGAGUAAAGGUGUGCGCCUGAUUUCAUGGAAUACCAAAGGAAUGAAUAAGGCCAUUAAGAUUGGCCGGUGGUGGCUGGUCCCCUCCAGCAACCUGAGGUGCGGGAGGUCCCUCCGCCCCCUCUGGACAUUGAGGGGGGCCCGGCGUUUUCGGUCCGCUCUGUCCUCGACUCGAGGCGCCGGGGGGGGGGCCUGCAGUACCUGGUGGAGUGGGAGGGGUACGGCCCGGAGG
ensembl:lncRNA